rnacentral:rRNA from 1 species
UACGUAGGGGCCUAGCGUUGUCCGGAAUUACUGGGCGUAAAGAGCUCGUAGGUGGUUUGUCGCGUUGUUCGUGAAAUCUCACGGCUUAACUGUGAGCGUGCGGGCGAUACGGGCAGACUGGAGUACUGCAGGGGAGACUGGAAUUCCUGGUGUAGCGGUGGAAUGCGCAGAUAUCAGGAGGAACACCGGUGGCGAAGGCGGGUCUCUGGGCAGUAACUGACGCUGAGGAGCGAAAGCGUGGGGAGCGAACAGG